CCUGGCAAUCUCUACCAAGAUAGUCAAUGUUCAUUCCCUGAUCCAGGAAUUUAUAGACAGGAUUUCACCAGGCUGGUUUCAAACUCCUAGCCUCAAGUGAUCUGCCCUCUUUGGCCUCCUAAAGUGCUGGGAUUACAGGCGUGAACCACUGCGACUGGCCUUA
rnacentral:lncRNA from 1 species